UACGUAGGUGGCAAGCGUUGUCCGGAUUUACUGGGCGUAAAGGGCGUGCAGGCGGUUUGUUAAGUGCAGGGUGAAAGCUCCCGGCUCAACUGGGAGAGGUCCUUGCAUACUGGCGAACUCGAGGGAGGCAGAGGAAAGUGGAAUUCCCGGUGUAGUGGUGAUAUGCGUAGAUAUCGGGAGGAACACCUGUGGCGAAGGCGGCUUUCUGGGCCUUACCUGACGCUGAGACGCGAAAGCGUGGGGAGCGAUCCGG
rnacentral:rRNA from 1 species